UGAAUUGACGGGGGCCCGCACAAGCGGUGGAGCAUGUGGUUUAAUUCGAUGCAACGCGAAGAACCUUACCUGGUCUUGACAUCCACAGAAGAAUCCAGAGAUGGAUUUGUGCCUUCGGGAACUGUGAGACAGGUGCUGCAUGGCUGUCGUCAGCUCGUGUUGUGAAAUGUUGGGUUAAGUCCCGCAACGAGCGCAACCCUUAUCCUUUGUUGCCAGCGAUUAGGUCGGGAACUCAAAGGAGACUGCCAGUGAUAAACUGGAGGAAGGUGGGGAUGACGUCAAGUCAUCAUGGCCCUUACGACCAGGGCUACACACGUGCUACAAUGGCGCAUACAAAGAGAAGCGACCUCGCGAGAGCAAGCGGACCUCAUAAAGUGCGUCGUAGUCCGGAUUGGAGUCUGCAACUCGACUCCAUGAAGUCGGAAUCGCUAGUAAUCGUGGAUCAGAAUGCCACGGUGAAUACGUUCCCGGGCCUUGUACACACCGCCCGUCACACCAUGGGAGUGGGUUGCAAAAGAAGUAGGUAGCUUAACCUUCGGGAGGGCGCUUACCACUUUGUGAUUCAUGACUGGGGUGAAGUCGUAACAAGGUAACCGUAGGGGAACCUGCGGUUGGA
rnacentral:rRNA from 1 species